UUUCCCCUGAGGUUCAUGAGGUGUAUGAGAAUGGCGAGGAUGAGAACCCCAUCCUGAAUAAAGGAUCAGACGCCAACCUGUUCGAAGGGGACAUUUUAAUUCCUG